AUGGGUUGGUGCUCAGGCAGUGGUGGCUGCUCACAGCCCAGGGAGCAGAAUUCCAGCUGUGUGGCACUCACCCCUGCCCUGACCCCUCAGAUCCCCUCACAGCCCCAGCCAGCAGCUCCUGGGGCUCUCUGCUCCCCUGCUUCCACAGCUCUGGGCCAAGGGCACUCCUGUUGUGGUGUCCACAUUGGUGUCUGUGUUCCCCUGACUUUGUACCCCUCCUGCUGCUCAGGGCUCCCCAUUCCCACCCUGGCCCUGCCAAGCCCAUGCUGUGCUGGAGGGCGAGGCUGUAACACUCACCUGGGACAUCUGAGCUCAGCGGGGCUGCAGCACCAGUCCCGCAGAACAAAGGGGUUUCUGCUUCCAAAGGGGUGUCCUGGUACCGAGGCCUUUGGGCAAACAGCACCCCUGGGUUGUGCCCUGCAUCCCUGGGCUGUACCCUGCACCCCUGGGUUGUGCUCUCCAUCCCUGGGUUGUGCUCUCCAUCCCUGGGCAGUGCCCUGCACCCCUGGGCAGUGCCCUGCACCCCUGGGCUGUGCCCUGCACCCCUGGGCUGUGCCCUGCACCCCUGGGCUGUGCUCUCCAUCCCUGGGCUGUACCCAGGGAGCCGUGGAGCUCCUGGAGGCAGCGAGCUGGGGACACCACAGUCCCCCUUGCCAGGGCCACGUCUUCCCAAGCCACCAGAACCAGCAGCUUUGAGCAAACCUUGUACCACGGAGCCACUGGGCAGGAAGGAGCUGUGGGAGCCCCGCAGCCGCCACUGCUCUGUGCCAGGAGAGGGGACAGAGGCAGGACAGGGAGGGUCCCAGCUGGGAAUGACCAGUUGGCUGCAGAGGGCUCCAGCUCUCUGGGGAAACAAAGCAUUCCUGGGAUGUUCUUUAUAUUUUUGUAGGAAUGGGGGGUGGGAGAGCAGAUGGGAGAUGCCUGCGGAAGUUGUUUAUUUUUAACCCUGUAGAAAGUUAUGGGUUGUUUUUGGUUUUUUGGCCUUUAAAAUAAAAAAUGGUCCUUGCUUUUGAUGUUUAUGCUG
rnacentral:lncRNA from 1 species